ACAUCAAUUCAAUAGAAUGAACUAACUCUCAACAGGAAGCCUGGAUAUCAGCUUCCAUCAUCAGGACUAUCACAAUGACCUUGGAUGUGACAGCUUGUGAAAACAAGAGACUCACUCAAAUGGAGUAAUAAACUCACUGACAAGACUGCAAUUCAAAUUUCACUAACAAAUGGAAAUUCUUCCACAGCAAAAGAUUGCUUUCUUUCUGCUGCUUCCAGUCGACGACAAGAGAAGAAUUAGGCACAAACAAGUCAGCUGCAAAAGACUGGGAGCAGGGGACAACAGUCGAAAAGGACUGCUGCCACGAGCAACUCCACAGUCUCACUUUUAUUGGAUAGAAAACAAUAGCCAACAGAAGGAUUGAUGAAGGUCAAACAUUAAUCCUGUCUUGUUGACCAGCAAGAAGGAGGAUAAAGUUUAUAGUUAACUAAGCACAUUCAAAGGACUCAUCUAACUAACAACGAGCACUUCUGGGAAGAGAAAGGAGUGAUAAUGAAAAAGGGAAGCAGGCGGUUUUCGUUCCACCCUGAGCUGACUGGGCGUUCCCGGGUGCUCGGCUUCCCUGAAGCAGGCGGCGUUCCACCCUGAGAGAGCCAGGCAUCCCCAGCUGCUCAGCUUCUGUGAAGGGGCGACAUUCCGCCCUGAGUGAGCCGGGCAUCCCCAGCUGCCCAGCUUCAUGGUCGUACAUUGUCCUUCUCCCCAAAGACCUGUUGUCAGUAUAUGUAUUUCUUAAGGCCAUAUCUAAAUGUGCUUGGCAACUAGUAAAAUCCUCCAGGGGUUACAGUUUAAGUAACAAAUUAUUCUGAGGGGCAGCAGCACUUUCAAUUAGCAAUGUGUGUUUUAGGCUCCUCCUUGUCUUCUAGUGGCAUGAUAGCUCAUUUCAUUUUUUCAUGGAAUAAUAUUGCACUGUCUAGAUGCACCACAGUUUAUUUAUCCAUUAUUUCACUAAAAAAAGAUAAUCUUGUUUGCUUCUAAGUUUUGGCAGUUAUUAAUAAAGCUUCUGUAAAAAUCCCUGUGCAGCCUUUUGUGUGUACAUAAGUGGAUACAUUAAAUCAUGUAAGAGUAUGUUUAGCUUUGUAAGAAACCAC
rnacentral:lncRNA from 1 species